rnacentral:rRNA from 1 species
UACGAGAGGUGCAAGCGUUGUCCGGAUUUAUUGGGCGUAAAGCGUUUCUAAAGGCGCUUUGGAAAGUUAGUCCUUAAAUACCGAAGCUCAACUUCGGGACUGGGACUAAUACUACCAGAGUUGAAAUAUUUCGGGGUUACUAGAACUAUCAGUGUAGGGGUGAAAUCCGUUGAUAUUGAUAGGAAUUCCAAGGGCGAAGGCAGGUAACUAGGAAUUAUUUGACGCUGAUGAACGAAAGCUAGGGG